rnacentral:rRNA from 1 species
UACGUAGGGAGCAAGCGUUGUCCGGAAUCAUUGGGCGUAAAGCGCACGUAGGCGGCCCUGUAAGUCCGCUGUGAAAGUCAAAGGCUCAACCUUUGAAAGCCGGUGGAUACUGCAGGGCUAGAGUCCGGAAGAGGCGAGUGGAAUUCCUGGUGUAGCGGUGAAAUGCGCAGAUAUCAGGAGGAACACCAAUGGCGAAGGCAGCUCGCUGGGACGUGACUGACGCUGAGACGCGAAAGCGUGGGGAGCAAACAGG